UGAGGUCCGUGUACCUGUCGAGAGAUCGUUCACAGUGGUUCAGCUUCCCGGGAAUACACUGGAACAAGCCAUGGGCAGCAAGAAGGAAAUUGCCUUGCAGGUCAACAUCAGCACCCAGGAGCUUUGGGAGGAAAUGCUCAGUUCCAAAGGAUUAACUGUGGUCGACGUCUAUCAAGGCUGGUGCGGCCCCUGCAAACCCGUGGUGAGCCUCUUCCAGAAGAUGAGGAUUGAGGUUGGCCUGGACCUGCUGCAUUUUGCAUUAGCGGAGGCAGACUGUCUUGAUGUCCUCGAAAGAUACCGCGGGCGGUGUGAGCCGACCUUUCUGUUUUAUGCAGGAGGAGAACUGGUGGCCGUGGUUCGCGGCGCAAACGCCCCCCUGCUGCAGAGAACCAUCCUGGACCAGCUGGAGGCCGAAAAGAAGGUGCUGGCUGAAGGCAGAGAACGGAGGGUGAUUAAAGAUGAGGCUCUUUCUGAUGAAGAUGAACAUUCUUCUCAUGAAAAGGACGAUGGUGAAGAUGAGGAUGUGGUUUCAGCAGAGAAGACCUGCACCUUGGCCAUCAUUAAACCAGAUGCGGUGGUCCACGGCAAGACCGAUGAGAUUAUUAUGAAGAUCCAGGAAGCCGGCUUCGACAUUUUAACAGAUGAAGAGAGAACCUUGACAGAGGCAGAAAUGCGACUUUUCUACGACCGCAGAGCUGGAGAGGAGGCAUUUGAGAAACUGGUACAUCACAUGUGCAGUGGACCAAGCCACCUCCUGAUCCUCACCAGGACUGAGGGUGUCGAGGACGUGGUUACUGCCUGGCGAACCCUCAUGGGGCCCUGUGACCCUGAGGUGGCAAGGAGGGAGCAGCCUGACAGUCUCCGCGCUCGGUAUGGCACAGAAAUGCCCUUCAAUGCGGUCCAUGGAAGCCAGGACAGAGAAGACGCCAGCCGAGAACUGGCACUGCUCUUCCCCGGUUUUAAGUUUUCAGAUGAAGUGCCAGAAGCCCCUCGGGGUAAGUCACCAAGGCGGACUGGCCUUCAUGAAACCUGCAGGGAGUGAGCGGGGCUGACAAUAACUCUGUGGUGACCCCGUCUUCAGAUGAGUGAGGUCCUGUUUGGGAGACGGGCUCUUACAUACCUGUAGCUGCAGUCCUCAUCUGUUCUGUGUUUUUAUAGACUAAGUGCUGCUUUUUAAUAUCGCCAUUACAUUUUUUGCUCCAUUCUUACUCUGGAGCCGUAUUUUCGUUGCAAAGUUACUUUGCAUUUUCCUGUGGAAACCACUGGGAAAUGUAACUAACUUUCUGGAAGCCUACUUCGAAGCCAUUCGGAGGCCAGAUCUCACCCCUCACUUCCUCUGCGCUCCGUGUGCCCCACACUAAGCCCUUGGUGGGGAUGCUGAGAAGCGGAGGGACACAGAAGGGGUCUCUGCCGGAGCUUGCUGUGACUCUCGGAUCAGCCCCCACAGUUUGGGAAAAGCAUGCUGGGUCCAGGCUCCAAAUCUGGGUGAUAAUGAGCAAAGAGGACAAUUCCAGAUGCAUCUGAGCCCAGACCACAUCCCGGGAAUAAGUCACAGCCUCCUGUGGGCAUGAACUUGCAGCAGCCUCGGUGGGAUUGCUGAUGCUCUGCCCAUUUGUUUGAGGUGCCGUGUCUUCUCAGUUGUCAGGAGCAGAGUGUGUGUUCAAUGUACCCGGCACUUUUCCUGCUAAGGGGCAGGGGUCAGGGCACUGGAGACACAACCCUGGGUUUGAAUCCUGGCUCCACUCUUUACCAGCCCAAUAGCCUGGGGAAAGUAAGUUACCUUCUUUGGGCCUCAGUUCCCUCAUCUGUGAAAUGGAGAUAAGGAUAGACCCGUUACAGCCCAUAGUAAUCAUCUUCCUCCAGGGCUGUUGUGAAGAUGGGAGGAGAGGGAGGAGAGGUUCUCAGCCCGGUGCCUGGCGCUUAGUAAGUGCUCCACAAAUGUUGCCCUUCUCCUCAUUCUUUCAUUCCUGGUCCCUGAUACGCGUACUAGGACCUCUCUUUGCUGUCCCUUCCGCCCUGACCCCUCACUUCAUCAUCUGUGAAGUAGUUAGAUGCCCUUUUCCUGUUUCUUUGUGGAUGGUGUGUGGGACAGAGGACUGGGACAGGGCUGUGUUUCAGAAAUCCUACAGAACAUCUGUCAU